AUUAGUAUUAAAGCAAACACGGUUUCUACAGGGGUGUGAAAGCAGCUGCCGUCGCACCAAAGCACGCCGUCGCUCCCUCUGCACGGCGUCUCAGCUACCGUCACUCCCGCCUCCGCCGCCGUCGUCGAUCUUCUCCGCUGUGAGUAUGGUGAUCUACUAGUAAGUUGUGGCUUGAUUGGAGAAGUUGUCAAAGUAUAUGAAGAUCUUGAGCUUUGGGACUUCUUGGCUGCAAGUAUUAUAAGUCUCUACAAGUUAUAGAGUAUGUAUACUUUUGAUUAGAAUUUUGUGAACAUUUAAACUUGGUGAUUGGAAUUGUUCAUUGAAGUAUUUAGACUUGGUGAUUAGUUCUUAUGUAUUUUGAACAUUGUGUAUCUAGACUUGGUGAUGGUGUUUGUAUAAAUUGUUUUUAUUAUAUUAUUAUGCUUAAAAUCAAAA